rnacentral:rRNA from 1 species
UACGUAGGGUGCGAGCGUUAAUCGGAAUUACUGGGCGUAAAGCGUGCGCAGGCGGUUAGGUAGGUCCGUUGUGAAAACUCGAGGCUCAACCUCGAGACGCCGAUGGAAACCAUCUAACUAGAGUCCGGAAGAGGAGAGUGGAAUUCCUGGUGUAGCGGUGAAAUGCGCAGAUAUCAGGAAGAACACCCGUGGCUAAGGCGGCUCUCUAGUACGGUACUGACGCUGAGACGCGAAAGCGUGGGGAGCGAACAGG